rnacentral:rRNA from 1 species
UGCGAAGGGGGCUAGCGUUGCUCGGAAUUACUGGGCGUAAAGGGCGCGUAGGCGGACAGUUUAGUCAGAGGUGAAAGCCCAGGGCUCAACCUUGGAAUUGCCUUUGAUACUGGCUGUCUUGAGUUCGGGAGAGGUGAGUGGAAUGCCGAGUGUAGAGGUGAAAUUCGUAGAUAUUCGGCGGAACACCAGUGGCGAAGGCGACUCACUGGCCCGAUACUGACGCUGAGGCGCGAAAGCGUGGGGAGCAAACAGG